GCCCGCAGCUAUAUCACCGUGCAGCUCUCAACUUGGUACCCAUUGAAACUAAGCAAGGUUGAGCCUGGUCAGUACCUGGAUGGGAGACCUCCUGGGAAACUACAGUUGCUGCUGGAA
rnacentral:rRNA from 1 species